AACGUAAUGUUACGGUGCCCAAAUUAACAACUCAUACAGAAACCAUGAAAGGCGUUGGUUGCUUAAACAGCAGGACGGUGAUCAUGGAAGUCGAAAUCCGCUAAGGAGUGUGUAACAACUCACCUGCCGAAGCAACUAGCCCUUAAAAUGGAUGGCGCU
rnacentral:ncRNA from 1 species